UAGGGAAUCUUCGGCAAUGGACGAAAGUCUGACCGAGCAACGCCGCGUGAGUGAAGAAGGUUUUCGGAUCGUAAAACUCUGUUGUUAGAGAAGAACAAGGACGUUAGUAACUGAACGUCCCCUGACGGUAUCUAACCAGAAAGCCACGGCUAACUACGUGCCAGCAGCCGCGGUAAUACGUAGGUGGCAAGCGUUGUCCGGAUUUAUUGGGCGUAAAGCGAGCGCAGGCGGUUUCUUAAGUCUGAUGUGAAAGCCCCCGGCUCAACCGGGGAGGGUCAGUGGAAACUGGGAGAGUUGAGUGCAGAAGAGGGGAGUGGAAUUCCAUGUGUAGCGGUGAAAUGCGUAGAUAUAUGGAGGAACACCAGUGGCGAAGGCGGCUCUCUGGUCUGUAACUGACGCUGAGGCACGAAAGCGUGGGGAGCAAACAGG
rnacentral:rRNA from 1 species